rnacentral:rRNA from 1 species
UACGUAGGUGGCAAGCGUUGUCCGGAUUUACUGGGCGUAAAGGAUGCGUAGGCGGAUGUUUAAGUGAGAUGUGAAAUACCCGAGCUCAACUUGGGUGCUGCAUUUCAAACUGGAUAUCUAGAGUGCAGGAGAGGAAAGCGGAAUUCCUAGUGUAGCGGUGAGAUGCGUAGAGAUUAGGAAGAACACCAGUGGCGAAGGCGGCUUUCUGGACUGUAACUGACGCUGAGGCAUGAAAGCGUGGGGAGCAAACAGG